UACAGAGGGUGCAAGCGUUAAUCGGAGUUACUGGGCGUAAAGGGCGCGUAGGCGGUUGAAUAAGUGAGAUGUGAAAUCCCUGGGCUUAACCUAGGAACUGCAUCUUAUGCUGUUUAACUAGAGUAUUGUAGAGGGUAGUGGAAUUUCCGGUGUAGCGGUGAAAUGCGUAGAGAUCGGAAGGAACACCAGUGGCGAAGGCGGCUCUCUGGGACGGUACUGACGCUGAGACGCGAAAGCGUGGGGAGCGAACAGG
rnacentral:rRNA from 1 species